rnacentral:rRNA from 1 species
CCUACGGGAGGCAGCAGUGGGGAAUCUUGCGCAAUGGGCGAAGGCCUGACGCAGCCAUGCCGCGUGGAUGAUGAAGGUCUUAGGAUUGUAAAAUCCUUUCACCGGUGAAGAUAAUGACUGUAGCCGGAGAAGAAGCCCCGGCUAACUUCGUGCCAGCAGCCGCGGUAAUACGAAGGGGGCUAGCGUUGCUCGGAAUUACUGGGCGUAAAGGGAGCGUAGGCGGACAUUUAAGUCAGAGGUGAAAUCCCGGAGCUUAACUUCGGAACUGCCUUUGAUACUGGGUGUCUUGAGUGUGAGAGAGGUAUGUGGAACUCCGAGUGUAGAGGUGAAAUUCGUAGAUAUUCGGAAGAACACCAGUGGCGAAGGCGACAUACUGGCUCAUUACUGACGCUGAGGCUCGAAAGCGUGGGGAGCAAACAGGAUUAGAUACCCUGGUAGUCCACGCCGUAAACGAUGAUUGCUAGUUGUCGGGAAGCUUGCUUCUCGGUGACGCAGCUAACGCAUUAAGCAAUCCGCCUGGGGAGUACGGUCGCAAGAUUAAAACUCAAAGGAAUUGACGG